rnacentral:rRNA from 1 species
UACGUAGGGUGCAAGCGUUAAUCGGAAUACUGGGCGUAAAGCGUGCGCAGGCGGUUAUGUAAGACAGGUGUGAAAUCCCCGGGCUUAACCUGGGAACUGCAUUUGUGACUGCAUAGCUAGAGUACGGUAGAGGGGGAUGGAAUUCCGCGUGUAGCAGUGAAAUGCGUAGAUAUGCGGAGGAACACCGAUGGCGAAGGCAAUCCCCUGGACCUGUACUGACGCUCAUGCACGAAAGCGUGGGGGAGCAAAACGAGG